ACAGCUCCUAUCUCACCCUUUCUCUUUCAUUCUCAGUAUCAAUUAUUCUAAAAAAACAUUGAUCUCUCCCCUAUCUCUAAGAAACUAAAACAAAAAGCAAAACUUGUUUCCAGAAUUGAAACUCAGAUCCCCCACAUCUCUAGCUCACAGUUUAAAAGAAACUCUCAUCCUUCUUUUUUUCUCUCAGAAAUUCCAAAUUGACCUUUUCCGGCCAAACCAAAUCCAAAUCAGUUAACCAAACAUUUUCACCAAGGGAAAAUCAAGGCUAAAAAUAAACUUUAAAACCACGAGUUUAUGUGGUGCGAGAAAGGGAAUGAAGUGGCUGUUAACGUUUGAGUUAGUGUUGACAAUUGAUUGAUUGAAAAAAAAAUUCAAGAAAAAUUGUUAAGGAAGCAAGCUGAACUCAUGAAGCGAGUUUUUGAUUUGCAGUACUGUUGAGAAAGGUGGUGAUAGAGGUUUCCCUUACUCAAAGGGUUUUCAUUUUGUUGGAGUUGGGUAUUGGUUUUGGUUUGUGUCGGGGAUUUAGAUGUUUGGGUAUCAUUUAGCACCUGAAAUUAAUCAUCAGUUCGAGGAGAAAAGAAUUCAAGAUGAAAUUCAGGAGCUUAACCCGUUAAUUGCAAAUUCAGGAGGUUACAGUCAUCCAUAAUACAAUCGGCUUGGCGGAAGCAUUCCAGGUUCAUUUCAGAAGCUAAUUUCCCAAACAUAUCGAGGAACGUCAGAUAACAGAUUUACUCCAAGAAUUACUAACAUCAUCAAUUGGAGCAUAUGCCUUGUGUACUUGGAUCACGCAGUUACUCCUGGUUGCCAGCAAAGGAUUGAGUGCUCAUUGAUAUCCCCAAAUUUUAUUUACAAACCCUGGUACAUUGCGGAUGAGUGAACUUCCGUUCGUCCUUCUGCAGUUUCUUCAAGCAACUACUUGAAAUGUUUUCUCUGCAGUUGGCUCACAAGUUUUAAUUUCAUGACUUGUGCUUUAGCUAGAUUUUAUCCAAUCAAUCAUGGUUUUGGUUUAGUACAAGUGUCAUCUGGUUGCUUCCGAAAGCAAUUAAGCAGCCAUAUACUCCGUAGGAUAAUUAUCAUUGCAUCCCCCUAUCAUGUUUAAAAUAUUUUGACUUUUUCUGCUAAAAUUCAUAUAUCUUAUACAUGUAUAGGAACUCCUGAAUACCAUGAUGCAUUUACUAAUUUCAUAGAUACAGUCAAUGGGAAACUUGGAAAUCCUGAAAUCAUAUUUAGUUGUCCUUGUGGUGAUAGUAAGAAUCUCGCUGUGCGAAUUCAUGGGGAGCCGGCUAGCUGCUAGCAUUUCUAAUUAUGUUCACCAUAGAGAGCAACACCCAGUGUAUAUCAGGUGGAUCUUUCAUGUUGCAGAUGAUGCUCUUAUUGAUCAGGUUCAUGAAAUUAGACACGCUCGAUGGGGAUUCGCAAAGCUGGUGGAAGAUACUGACAGCACUAGUUGAUCUUCUUAUCUAUUUGAGUUUAAGUAUUGAUUUUAACUGUACAUUUGUGAUAGCAAUUUGCACUACUUCUUCCAUAA